AUUCCUUCCAUGAAUGCAGAGAAAGAAAGACCUUCUUGGGCUGCAAGAAAUACUCUGUUCCUCACACAUAAUAACUAAGGCUCAGCAGCUUGUAAAAAGGCAUGGUCCAGGGCAUGUCAGGACAAGGAAGAGUGCUACCACCAGACUACUACUUGUCACUUCAUGGUCCCAGUUGAUGCUGGACAGCCUCCAUGCUGGUUCUCGAUGUAAAGCUCUGACUUCUGGGCUCUGUCAAGAUCACAACCUUCAUUGUCCCUCCAGUCCUAAAGGCAAUACCUUUUUCCUGUUGUUGUUGGUCCUUGGAUUGACUCACUAUUCCCCAUUUGUCUCUUCGGUUAUCAUCUUUGCAAAUUCCAACACUGAAUUUCUUCUGCUAUUGAGACAUACAUAGCGUGUGAUUUUUUUGAAUGAGUCUUUCCUGAUUUAGGUACUUACAGCCACAUCAAAAGUCAAAUGGUUCUCCUUUCACAAUAUGAUACACAAGUAAUUUUCUUUAGUAGUUGUUAAAGACUAAAUUAAAAUACUGACUCCUGAAUGACCAGUGGGUUAAUGAACAGAUUAAGAAGGGAAAUAAAUUUCUUGAAACAAAUGAUAAUGAAAACGCAACACACCAAAACCUAUGGGAUACAGUAAAAGCCGCACUGAGAGAGCCGUGUGUAAGUGCCUACAUCAAACAAGAAGAUAAUUUUGAAAUAAAUAACCUUGUGAUGCAGCUUAAAGAAUUAGAAAAACAAGAGCAACCUCAAACCCAAAAUUAGGAGAAGAAAAUAAUAAAGAUCAGAGCAGAAAUAAAUGAAAUGAAGAAAAUAACACACAAGAUCAGUGAAACAAAAAGUUGGUUUUUUUUGAAAGAUAAGGAAAACUGACAACACUUUAGCCAGACUAACUAAGAAAAACAAGAGAGAAGAUCCACAUAAAUAAUAUUAGAGGCUGGGCACAGUGGCUCAUGCCUGUAAUCUCAGCACUUUGGGAGGCUGAGGCGGGUGAAUCAUGAGGUCAAGAGAUUGAGACCAUCCUGGCCAACACGGUGAAGCCCUGCCUCUACUAAAAACACAAAAAUUAGCUGGGCAUGGUGACAUGCGCCUGUAGUCCCAGUUACUUGGGAGGCUGAAGCAGGAGACUCGCUUCAACCCAGGAGGCAGAGGUUGCAGUGAGCUGAGAUCGCACCAUCACAGUCCAGCCUGGUGACAGAGUGAGACUCUGUCUCAAAAAUAAUAAUAAUAUAAUAAUAUUAGAGAUGAAAAAGGGAGACAUUACAACCAAUACUACAGAAAUUCAAAGGGUCAUUAGCGGCUACAAUAGCAAUUGUAUGCCAAUAAAUGUAAAAGUCUAGAAGAAAUAAAUAGAUUCCUAGAAACAUACAACCUAUCAAGAUUGAACCAUAAAGAAACCCAAAACUUGAAUAGACCACUAACAAGUAAUGAAAACAAAGCCAUAAUAAAAAGUCUCCCAGAAAAACAAAACAAAACAAAACAAAAAAACUGGAACCCAAUGCCUUCACUGCUAAAUUCUACCAAAGAUUUCAAGAAGAACUAAUACCAAUCCUACUUAAACUAUUUUACAAAAUAGAGGUGGAGGGUAUACUUCCAGAUACUUCAUUCUAUGAGGCCACUAUUACCCUGAUACCAAAACCAGAGAAAGACACAGCAAUGAAAAUAAAA